CCUACGGGCGGCUGCAGUGAGGAAUAUUGGUCAAUGGACGAGAGUCUGAACCAGCCAAGUAGCGUGAAGGAUGACUGCCCUAUGGGUUGUAAACUUCUUUUAUAAAGGAAUAAAACGAGGCACGUGUGCCUUUUUGCAUGUACUUUAUGAAUAAGGAUCGGCUAACUCCGUGCCAGCAGCCGCGGUAAUACGGAGGAUCCGAGCGUUAUCCGGAUUUAGUGGGUUUAAAGGGAGCGUAGAUGGGUUGUUAAGUCAGUUGUGAAAGUUUGCGGCUCAACCGUAAAAUUGCAAUUGAUACUGGCAGUCUUGAGUACAGUUGAGGUAGGCGGAAUUCGUGGUGUAGCGGUGAAAUGCUUAGAUAUCACGAAGAACCCCGAUUGCGAAAGCAGCUUACUAAACUGUGACUGACAUUGAUGCUCGAAAGUGUGGGUAUCAAACAGGAUUAGAUACCCCUGUAGUC
rnacentral:rRNA from 1 species